GCGGCAGGCUGCCCAAGGCAACACAACCCGAGGUGGCGGUGCUUGACCGGCAUGCUGUAACUUAGCCUGUAGGCGCAUAGGCCUACUACUAUGCGUGCAGGGGCUAGCCUACGCAUGUGCAGGGCCUGGGUGUGCUUGCGCGCGCAGGCCUACUGCGUGGACAAUGUGAACACAGUAUACAAUACUAGUCAGUGCGCGAGGUGACACGCGAAUGGCCUACACGCGAAGGUCCUGACCCCAUGCCGUGCGUGCAGAGGGGAAGUGCCUGUUAUGCGCACGUCCUGAGCGUGUAUGCAUACAGAGGGGACGUGUGUGCUGGUGUACGGAUGGGGCGUGCACACCAUGGCCAUUGUGCCCACAUGCUCUCACACAUAGUACCCAGCACCCGCGCAGGAUUUUUCCCGUGGGCAGUGUUUUCCCGACUUGCUGUUUUUCG
rnacentral:lncRNA from 1 species